ensembl:lncRNA
CUCCUCCGCAUGCGUGGCCUGCCUCCGCCCUCCGGUCUCUCAGGAUGCUGGGCGAGGGUGGCCCCUCUCUGGCAACCCGCGCAGGGCCUGGCCCGCUCCCUUGGCUACAGUUUGCACUGGGGCCGGCAGUUCGAGCGUUUGCAAGGGUUCUCCCGAGCUCCCGCCGGGCGUGUGAGCCGCUUUGAAUUCGGAGACGGAGGAUUUCUCCAGAAAGUGCAGUCCUCAGUGGUCUCAAGAAUACAACUUCUAGUUACCCAGCAGCAAGGUCCUGGGCCCUAAAAUACAAAGGUGUUGGGAGUGUUACUCUUAUGCAGUCCACCUGAUCUUGUCUUUGCCUAAUCGGAGAUGACUGCCCGGGAGACGGAUCCCUGUCUGUAUUCAGCAGCUAUCCUGAGUAGAACUUUUCCUCUUGCCUAACUGGGAAUGGAUUUCACAAAAGUCCCAUGUAAUUAAG